UACGAAGGGGGCUAGCGUUGCUCGGAAUCACUGGGCGUAAAGCGCACGUAGGCGGACUCUUAAGUCGGGGGUGAAAGCCUGUGGCUCAACCACAGAAUUGCCUUCGAUACUGGUUGGCUUGAGACCGGAAGAGGACAGCGGAACUGCGAGUGUAGAGGUGAAAUUCGUAGAUAUUCGCAAGAACACCAGUGGCGAAGGCGGCUGUCUGGUCCGGUUCUGACGCUGAGGCGCGAAAGCGUGGGGAGCAAACAGG
rnacentral:rRNA from 1 species